rnacentral:rRNA from 1 species
AUUGAACGCUGGCGGCAGGCCUAACACAUGCAAGUCGAGCGGAUGAAGGGAGCUUGCUCCUGGAUUCAGCGGCGGACGGGUGGGUAAUGCCUAGGAAUCUGCCUGGUAGUGGGGGAUAACGUCCGGAAACGGGCGCUAAUACCGCAUACGUCCUGAGGGAGAAAGUGGGGGAUCUUCGGACCUCACGCUAUCAGAUGAGCCUAGGUCGGAUUAGCUAGUUGGUGGGGUAAAGGCCUACCAAGGCGACGAUCCGUAACUGGUCUGAGAGGAUGAUCAGUCACACUGGAACUGAGACACGGUCCAGACUCCUACGGGAGGCAGCAGUGGGGAAUAUUGGACAAUGGGCGAAAGCCUGAUCCAGCCAUGCCGCGUGUGUGAAGAAGGUCUUCGGAUUGUAAAGCACUUUAAGUUGGGAGGAAGGGCAGUAAGUUAAUGCCUUGCUGUUUUGACGUUACCAACAGAAUAAGCACCGGCUAACUUCGUG